rnacentral:tRNA from 1 species
GGGGCUGUGGCUCAGCGGGAGAGCGCUUGCCUAGCACAUGCAAAACCCUGGGUUCAAUCCUCAGCACCACA